GGGGAUAUAGCUCAGUUGGUAGAGCGCUUGCCUUGCAAUGCAUAAGGCCCUGGGGUCAAUUCCCAGCACCA
rnacentral:tRNA from 1 species